rnacentral:rRNA from 1 species
UACGGAGGAUCCUAGCGUUAUCCGGAUUUAUUGGGUUUAAAGGGUGCGUAGGCGGAAUAGUAAGUCAGUGGUGAAAGCCUACAGCUUAACUGUAGAACUGCCAUUGAUACUGCUAAUCUUGAGUACAUUUGAAGUGGGCGGAAUGUGUCGUGUAGCGGUGAAAUGCUUAGAUAUGACACAGAACACCGAUUGCGAAGGCAGCUCACUAAACUGUAACUGACGCUGAGGCACGAAAGCGUGGGGAUCAAAC